GACUUGCUGGUUGGGGCUAGGGUUUCGGCCAGAACGGGAGGGGGGAGACGCCCUCCGGUGCGCGGAGGCUUGGGGACGGCCCAUGGGCCCGAACCCUCGGGCCUUCUUUAUAGUUCCCCGGUUCGGUCCUAAUGGACCGGCCUAUGGGUUUAAUUUGGAGGCUUGGGUUGCUCAACCCAAAUGCGCGAAAAAGAGGAUGGAAAUGACCAGCGGGCGAGUGACCAACAGGGUGGCCUUAAACUGUCGCGGAAAAGGGCAAAAACACCUUUAACGCAGAAAUUGGCCAUAUCGCCAACAGUACUGUGCCGCCGUCGCCGGUCACGAGAGGAAGCAGGAGGACGCGGAUGGAGUAGAGGCCCGGCAGAUUCCCCCUGAAAGGGGGAUCGGCCGUUCUGAAGGCACAAGAGACUGAUGCGCCCCUGGCUACUGGUUGGACGGUUCAUGGGAAGGCUGGUGCCGAGCAACCACGCCGUGAUGGAGGAACUGAUCGCUCUGGCCUCACUUCUUUUCAUGUCCUUCUAUGUCAUUGCCCCCUUUUCCCUUGGGAUUUUGUGAUUUCAAGAUGCUUGUCUUUCUGAGACC